CGUGGGGGGACAGGAACCGGAAACAGAUGGGGAGCUGGUCCAGGCUAGGAUCAAAACACAACAACUUGAUCUGUCAACCUAUUGUGUCAAUCUUGAAACAUCAACCUCAUCUGGGGAAGAGGUUGUACUUGACUUGUCUGGAGAUUGAAAAGGAAUAGUCCCUGCCCUGUGGGAGGCCCACAUGUGAUGGAAACACACCCAGAGCCUGGAAAACUGUGAGAAGCAAGCAGAGUGCCAAGUGACAGCAGCAUGGCUGUACCCCAGGCUUUCUCACUGGGGCCCCUCCACGAGCCUGUAGGUGCCCUGAUGGAGCCCCAGCUAUGUCCUCAAAGCUUGGCUGAGGGCUUCCUGCAGGAGGAGCUUCGGCUUAAUGCUGAGCUAAGGCAACUGCAGUUUUCAGAGCCUGUGGGCAUCAUCUACAAUCCAGUGGAUUACGCAUGGGAGCCACAUCGCACCUACGUGACUCGUUACUGCCAGGGCCCCAAGGAAGUGCUCUUCCUCGGCAUGAACCCGGGACCUUUUGGCAUGGCUCAGACUGGGGUGCCCUUUGGGGAAGUGAGCAUGGUUCGAGACUGGUUGGGCAUUGGGGGGUCUGUGUCACCUCCUCCCCAGGAGCAUCCCAAGCGACCAGUGCUGGGACUGGAGUGCCCACAGACAGAGGUGAGCGGUGCCCGAUUCUGGGGCUUUUUCCGGAACCUCUGUGGACAGCCUGAAGUCUUCUUCCGUCAUUGCUUUGUCCACAAUCUGUGUCCUCUGCUCUUCCUGGCUCCCAGUGGGCGCAACCUCACCCCUGCCGAGCUGCCUGCAAAGCAGAGAGAACAGCUUCUUGGGAUUUGUGACGCAGCCCUCUGCCGGCAGGUGCAGCUACUGGGGGUGCGGCUGGUAGUAGGAGUGGGGCGACUGGCAGAGCAGCGGGCACGACGGGCCCUGGCAGGUCUGAUGCCAGAGGUCCAGGUGGAGGGCCUCCUACAUCCUUCUCCCCGGAGCCCACAGGCCAACAAGGGCUGGGAGGUGGUAGCCAAGGAAAGGCUCAAUGAGUUGGGGUUGCUGCCUCUGCUGACAAAAUGAGUGUCCCCAGGGCCUGGCCUAGGACAGUCAAGGCCCCCAAGUCAUUCUUGCACUGGUGGAUGACUACACACCGCCUGGACUGGCGCAACAGGGCCUUCCUGGGCUUUCUGUUGCCAGGAAACAUGUUCUUUGAUCUGUUGAAUUGUCCCCCAGCCUGCAGAGGCAGUCUCUAAUUACCAGGGUGAGUAGUUACUCAACUCCUGUACACCAUCUUGCUUCCUGUGUCCUUGACUGUCCUUUGAGCAUUGCCCCUUUUGUCUUACAGUGUUGGCUCCACAGAAUCAGCAGAAGCAUUCUUUUUUGUGAGACUUGUGAACUCUGAUGGAAAAAUGGAUUAUCCUCUCUAAGUCUCAGGAUCCUCAUCUGUAAAUGGAGAUACCUCCCUCACGGGGUUGUUUGAGGAUUAACUGAGAAAACACUUGAAAGUGCCUUGUGAUGGCCUGGCACUCGGGUGCUCACUACAUAGCUUUCUUGCUUUCUGUCUGUGUUGGACAGUCAUUGCACUACAGAGGAAACUCCUUUCUACUUUGAAAGCCUGGCUGGGGUCGGGAAGUCUUGCCUACCAGAAAUGGAUCAUGACUUUAUGAAAACCCAACCUGUCAUUCUUCAAUUUAAGCAUUAAAAGUUCCUAAACUCUUUUGUGGUGGUACUUUUUUCCCCUCUGCAUGUCAGGGGUGGGAGAUCUGUUGUUGAGAUUUUUUUUUCUAUACAUACCUCUUCACUGUUUGCAAAAGGUUUUCUUGGGUAGCUGGGGGAGGGAUGUAACAGAUUUCUAAAUGCUUCAGCAAAUUUGCAGGGUGGUGGUAGUGGCUUGUCUAGUAGUUUUUCUGAUACUUGGGGCACAUGGGGAAGACGGAUGGGGUGGCCUGGCAUCUGACUCAUUUCUUUUUGUCUGCUGAAUGGCUGGUUGGGUGCCCCUUUUUUUAAGAACUGGGAAAAUGAACCAAGUUGAAAGCAAAACAUGCCUUGAGAUCAUCUUAUUGAGGAACACAUGGUUUACUCCUGAUUUCUUGGGACACAGGUCAUCUCCAGUUAUUUCAAAAUUAAGAUCUUUAGAAUAAAUUCUCCUCCCCUCAUAGCAUAGAAAGGAAUUUGACCUGCCUCUGUCUUCAGAUCCUGAGAGGGAGAUUUCUAAAUCCUGGGAAUUUCCCCAGUGAUAGGUGUAUCUUUGUUAUGGUGGGUCCUCCAAACCACACCUGAAAUUAACAAUGUUGAGAUUUGACCAUAGACCACACUUUGUAUUGAAAUUUGAUCUUGGACCACAGCUGAGUUUUAUGCUAAGAUUUGACUCAGGAUAUAGGCUGACCAUGCCAGAAAGACCAACUAACACUUAGAGGAUUGGGACUUUCUUCUGGGUGAUGUAUCAGCCUGAUCUCCAGGGAGGAGACGGUAACACAGACUGAGUGCAACCACAUGGCCCUUUAUUUCAAUCAAUGAGGCCUUUGUAAAGAAACCCUAGUAAAAAUGUUGAACACCAAGGUUUGUGUCAUCUUCCUGGUUGGUAAAAACAUGGAUGUGUUGGGAAGGUGAUAUGUCCUGGUUCUAUAGGCAAAGGACAUGGAUGUGUGUUUGGAAUACGUCCAGAUCUUGCUUAUGUUUCUUUGUGUUUGGAUGGCCCUGAUUUGCAUUCUUUUCUGCAGUGUUGGGGAGGGAACCCAGGGCCUUAUGCAUGCUAAGCACAUGCUUUACCACUGAGCCAUACC